rnacentral:rRNA from 1 species
UAUUGCUUGUCUCAAAGAUUAAGCCAUGCAUGUCUAAGUAUAAACAAAUUUUGUACUGUGAAACUGCGAAUGGCUCAUUAAAUCAGUUAUAGUUUAUUUGAUAAUACCUUACUACUUGGAUAUCCGUGGUAAUUCUAGAGCUAAUACAUGCAAUCAAACCCCGACUUCUGGAAGGGGUGUAUUUAUUAGAUACAAAAACCAUCCCUGCGCAAGCAGGUUCUCUGGUGAUUCAUAGUAACUUUUCGAAUCGCACGACCUUGCGUCGGCGAUGGUUCAUUCAAAUUUCUGCCCUAUCACCUUUCGAUGGUAGGAUAGAGGCCUACCAUGGGUUUAACGGGUAACGGCGAAUUAGGGUUCGAUUCCGGAGAGGGAGCCUGAGAAACGGCUACCACAUCUAAGGAAGGCAGCAGGCGCGCAAAUUACCCAAUCCUGAUUCAGGGAGGUAGUGACAAUAAAUAACAAUCCAGGGCUUCUGUCUUGGAAUUGGAAUGAGAACAAUUUAAAUCCCUUAACGAGGAACAAUUGGAGGGCAAGUCUGGUGCCAGCAGCCGCGGUAAUUCCAGCUCCAAUAGCGUAUAUUAAAGUUGUUGCAGUUAAAUAGCUCGUAGUUGAAUCUUGGGCCGGGUAUUGUGGUCGCCGCCCUCCCGGGUGGUGUACUGCGGGCCUGGCCUUUCCUUCUGGGGAACGGGUGUGCGCCUCACGGCGUGUGUCUGGGAUCCAGGACCUUUACUUUGAAAAAAUUAGAGUGUUCAAAGCAGGCAUUUUUUGCUCGAAUACAUUAGCAUGGAAUAAUAGAAUAGGACUUUGGUUUUAUUUUGUUGGUUUCUAGGACCGAAGUAAUGAUUAAUAGGGAUGGUUGGGGGCAUUAGUAUUUAAUUGUCAGAGGUGAAAUUCUUGGAUUUAUUAAAGACUCACUGCUGCGAAAGCGUUUGCCAAGGACGUUUUCAUUAAUCAAGAACGAAAGUCAGGGGAUCGAAGAUGAUCAGAUACCGUCGUAGUCCUGACUGUAAACUAUGCCGACUCGGGAUCGGGCGCCGUAUCUAAUACGACGCGCUCGGCACCGUAUGGGAAACCAUAAGUCUUUGGUACCGGGGGAGUAUGGUCGCAAGGCU